rnacentral:rRNA from 1 species
AACGAACGCUGGCGGCAUGCCUAACACAUGCAAGUCGAACGAGACCUUCGGGUCUAGUGGCGCACGGGGGCGUAACGCGUGGGAACCUGCCCUUAGGUUCGGAAUAACUCCCCGAAAGGGGUGCUAAUACCGGAUAAUGUCUUUGGACCAAAGAUUUAUCGCCUUUGGAUGGGCCCGCGUUGGAUUAGCUAGUUGGUAGGGUAAAAGCCUACCAAGGCGACGAUCCAUAGCUGGUCUGAGAGGAUGAUCAGCCACACUGGGACUGAGACACGGCCCAGACUCCUACGGGAGGCAGCAGUGGGGAAUAUUGGACAAUGGGCGAAAGCCUGAUCCAGCAAUGCCGCGUGAGUGAUGAAGGCCUUAGGGUUGUAAAGCUCUUUUACCCGGGAUGAUAAUGACAGUACCGGGAGAAUAAGCUCCGGCUAACUACGUG